rnacentral:rRNA from 1 species
GACGAACGCUGGCGGCGUGCUUAACACAUGCAAGUCGAACGGAAAGGCCCUGCUUUUGUGGGGUGCUCGUUUGGCGAACGGGGGAGUAACACGUGAGUAACCUGCCCUUGACUUUGGGAUAACUUCAGGAAACUGGGGCUAAUACCGGAUAGGAGCUCCUGCUGCAUGGUGGGGGUUGGAAAGUUUCGGCGGUUGGGGAUGGACUCGCGGCUUAUCAGCUUGUUGGUGUGGUAGUGGCUUACCAAGGCUUUGACGGGUAGCCGGCCUGAGAGGGUGACCGGCCACAUUGGGACUGAGAUACGGACCAGACUCCUACGGGAGGCAGCAGUGGAGAAUAUUGCACAAUGGGCGGAAGCGUGAUGCAGCAACGCCGCGUGCGGGAUGACGGCCUUCGGGUUGUAAACCGAUUUCGCAUGUGACGAAGCGUGAGUGACGGUAAUGGGUAAAGAAGCACCGGCUAACUACGUG